ACGAACGUUGGCGGCGUGGAUUAGGCAUGCAAGUCGAACGAGAACCGGGGGCAACUCCGGGGAAAGUGGCGAAAGGGGCAGUAAGGCGUGGGUAACCUACCCUGAGGACGGGGAUAGCUACGGGAAACUGUAGGUAAUACUCGGCGACGUAGCGAGGGGGCAUCUCUUUGCUACCAAAUGAAUUUCGCCUCGGGAGGGGCUCAUGUGGUAUUAGCUAGUUGGUAGGGUAACGGCCUACCAAGGCGAAGAUGCCUAGCGGGUGUGAGAGCACGACCCGCGCCACUGGCACUGAGACACUGGCCAGACACCUACGGGUGGCUGCAGUCGAGGAUCUUCGGCAAUGGGCGCAAGCCUGACCGAGCGACGCCGCGUGUGCGAUGAAGGCCUUCGGGUUGUAAAGCACUGUCGAGGGGGAGGAAGCUCCGUAAGGAGUUGACCUAUCCCUGGAGGAAGCACGGGCUAAGUUCGU
rnacentral:rRNA from 1 species